UGGUCUAUGGUGUAAUUGGCAGCACGACUGAUUCUGGUUCAGUUAGUCUUGGUUCGAGUCCAGGUAGACCAGC
rnacentral:tRNA from 85 species